rnacentral:misc_RNA from 1 species
GAUGAAGAACGUAGCGAAAUGCGAUAAGUAAUGUGAAUUGCAGAAUUCCGUGAAUCAUCGAAUCUUUGAACGCACAUUGCGCCCGCCAGUAUUCUGGCGGGCAUGCCUGUUCGAGCGUCAUUACAACCCUCAGGCCCCCGGGCCUGGCGUUGGGGAUCGGCGGAAGCCCCCUGCGGGCACAACGCCGUCCCCCAAAUACAGUGGCGGUCCCGCCGCAGCUUCCAUUGCGUAGUAGCUAACACCUCGCAACUGGAGAGCGGCGCGGCCACGCCGUAAAACACCCAACUUCUGAAUGUUGACCUCGAAUCAGGUAGGAAUACCCGCUGAACUUAAGCAUAUCAAUAAGUGGAGGA